rnacentral:rRNA from 1 species
UACGGGGGGAGCAAGCGUUGUUCGGAUUUACUGGGCGUAAGGGCGCGUAGGCGGCCAGCACAAGUCAGUUGUGAAAUCUCCGAGCUUAACUCGGAAAGGUCAACUGAUACUGUGCGGCUAGAGUGCGGAAGGGGCAACUGGAAUUCUUGGUGUAGCGGUGAAAUGCGUAGAUAUCAAGAGGAACACCUGCGGCGAAGGCGGGUUGCUGGGCCGACACUGACGCUGAUGCGCGAAAGCUAGGGGAGCGAACGGG